rnacentral:lncRNA from 1 species
GAGAAACAACAGCAGGCUCUUCCUGCAGGCCACUGUUGGGGCACACACAGGGAUGAGGGGCUGCGUUUCAGCCGCUGCUUUGCUAAAUACUGCACUGUGUUACUCUGAUUAUUCUCGGGCUCAGGCUCUGAUCAUCACGCCGAUGAAUGAGAGCCAGGUUUAAUGGCAGGAUGAAUGACGACGAAGCGGCCACUCAUCGUUCCCGUGCUUCACGAGGACAGUGCAAGUGAUUUUAAGGACAUCUGGAGGCUCACAGCUCAUCUUGGUAUACAUAGGUGUUAAAGGCAGUGCCCUCACGCAUCUCAUAAUGCUAUGCUUGACCUUUUAUCGAAGAAAAGUCUUAAUAAAUAACUCAGUGGAAAAGCUACAUUUCCUUCAUGUACUGACAAUCACCCCAGACUCUGACUUCUGCCAUGG